ensembl:lncRNA
UUGGUCACGAGGCCCCGUGUAUAGAACCCGCUUAGCAACUGUUGCCUAGGAGGGAAUUUGGGACCAGCCCUUAAUUUCUAACAUUUAGAGAGCGCCGUGGAGGAGUGUGGCUCUUAGCACGGUGCCAGAGGCAAUGGGGCCGAGCCCCUCCGGCGGCUGCCCCAUUUGGGGACGUGGUGUGGGACACCGUCCUGGCACCGCAUCCCAGUGCUCCCAGUGCUGAGAAUCCACCGUGCUUCUGCCCUUCUGUUGUCCACCGUAUCCCCAAGGGAAGGGCGGGUGGGAAGGUGCCAGCCAGGCUGGAAAACGCAGCUCCAAGAAUGCGAGUGCAUGGACACAGGGACAGAGACCCCGCGCCGGUGGCUGCCACUCCUCACAGGGUUGCAGCUGAGAAGCUGCGAAUUUGCAGCUUUGCGCUUCUGUGCAGCGUGCCGGCGUGCCGGGAUUGGAAGCCCCCCAGGAGGGGAGCGCAGAGCGGGCACGGUCACCCGCCCAGCCCCUGCUGCUGGUGGCCACUCUGGCAAUUUGCUGGCCACGUUUCCGGCACCCGUCUCCACCGAGCGCUGCCGCUCACCGCACCAGGAGCGCCCAGGGCGAGAGGGAUGGGAACAGGCGUCUGCUUUCCAUCUGUGCAUUUGUCUGUCUAUCCGCGCGGCCCCCUCUCCAACACACACCCAUCCAUCUCUCCAGCCAUCCGUCCGUCCCUCGUACACAGCUGUCUCUCCAUCCAGCCAUCUGGCCGGCCCCCAGAGCUGUCAAUCUGUCCGUCUCUGCCUCCCUCCACGCCGAGCCGCCCGCCCCGGAGACCCCCAACACCUCCCCAACCCCUCUCCGCUGGCACCCAUCGGGAAUGCCAACACUUCUGGUGCAAAGGGUGGCAGAGGCGCCCACGGGCACCAUCCCAAAACACCAGCAGCGUGCCCUGCCGGUGCCACAAACCCUCCUGCGGUGCAGCACAGUGAGGGGCAGUGGGGACCCCCAGGGCACAUGUCCUCGUGCCCACGGUGCCUGCACACAGAGGGUGGCACGUGGAUGUGCUCUUCCCCCAGUGCUCUCCUGCGGUCAGGUUAUUUUUGGCUCAGGAUUUCUGGAGACGUGUGCGGUUUCUCUCCUUCGUGGCUCCCGCUUCCGAUGAGCACCUGAGCCCCCCAGAACUUUGCGUACCCACAGAUUCCCAGCCACCACACCAAGCGCUACUUCCCUUGUCGGCAUCCCAGCUCCCGACAUCCUUGUGACAUCCCCCGUCCCCCAGCAUGGAUAGCUCUGGCUCAGCCCCAGCUGUCUCCCCAAAACGUGGCCCCAUGUGUACAGCCUCCUCCUCACCCCCAUCUCCACAAAGGGACCCCAAGCUGCACCCUCAGCGAUGCUUUCAGACCCCCGGACGGUGGGAACCGUCACCUAUGGGGCAGCAGGGAGGGUCCCCAUCUCCCUCUCCAUCUUCAUGCAUCCCACUGUGGGGGUACCCCGGCUUGGGCGGAGAGAACCGUGCCACAUGCCGUGCCCUCCCUCCCUCCCUCAAUGCCUCGGCUCCGUCUCCAGCAGCGCCGUCGGCCGCUUCCCUUUCAAACCUCAUUAACUCCCCCCAAGGUGACCCGCUCCCUCCUGCAGCAGGGCCAGGAGCGGAGCUGCCCGGGGACGGUAUCCAGGGACAGGGGGACCCUGCACGCUCCCGUGGCACCCCGAGCUCACAGCUGGACACACGGCACUGCACGAUGGCACGAUGGCACCGAGGGGCUCGGGACAAACCCGCCGUGGCCCCAGCACACCACGCCCCACGGUGUGCCCUCAGCCUUGUCCCCAGGUCCCCGCUGUCCCUGCUCAACACUCAGGCUGGCACUCUGCCUUUGCACACAGCCGCCGCGCGCCAGCCCCGCUGUCUGCUCUUCGAAAGCCCUUCCCCUGCUGAAUUCAUCUAUAAUAGAUAUCGGAGCUGAGCCCCCAGGGGCUGGGGGGUGGCAGCGAUAUUAUCUGCAUCUGUCUUCAUUCCCCUCUCUCUCCCCGCCCUUCCCCAGCAGGCUGAAAAGCCGCGAGAUCAGGCGGAGGAAAGCCGCCCCUGGCUCCGCUCUGCUCCUUGGCACUGGGGGAUCGACCAGAGCUCCCCAUCCCCAUGUCACGAUGUCCCCACCAACUGGCCCGGCCCAUC